CCUAAAUCCGGUCCAGACGGUCUCCUCUCUUCAAAGGGAGGAGCUAAGAGGGAAUGCGGUGCGGGACGAAAUCCCAAAUCCGCGGCUGUCCCCGCAACUGUAAGCGAAGAGCCAAGGCCGAAAGCCACUGGGGUGAUCCCGGGAAGGCGGCUACCCAAGGCGAUGACCCGCGAGCCAGGAGACCUGCCGUCUGCGACUAUAGAAU
rnacentral:ncRNA from 2 species